CCAACCUGACUCUUCCCAAAACCCUAAAAAUAACAGCUUUUUAACUGUAAACCCAAAUUACUAAGAAGCCACCAUGGAAUCGAUCUUACAUUCGUUGUCAUUUCAAUCCUUACUCAUGAUGAUCCUCGUCCCCACGUCGUUUUAAACCCUAAACGAAACUCUCAAUUUCUUCACUUCCUAGUCCUAUCCUCCUCCUAUUACUACUCCAUCUCUCCAUUUUCCUUCUAGUUGGCCUCCAUGGGUUGUGGGGGUUCGAAGCUCGAAAAUGACGACAAUGUUGCUCCCCUAGGGCUUCGACCCUUCCGCCGCAGGAUCGAAGAGAUCAGGCAGCGUAGGAAUGGUCGCGCCAUAAACGAUGGCACUUAUACUAAAGGGCUUCUAAACGAUGAAGAAGAAGAUAGCCCUAACGCCCACUACAGCGAAAACAGCCAGAGCGUGUCUUUGCCGUCUGAGAACGAGGGUGUAGGGUCGGGAAAGGGGCAAUCCGCCCCUAUAAAGGACGCAACAGCAGCGAAAGUUCAUCAUCAUGAGGAGUCCACACCCGGAAAAGAUGGCAAAAUCAAUAAGAUUUUUCCGGAAUCCGAUAAAAACUCGAAGACGGAGGUGGAGGAAACGGAGAGAGGAGUGGAGAUGGAUAACUGUGUGGGAAAGGAAGAUAGUGGUAGUAAUCGUGGUGAUGACAAUGAUGACGACGGAGGCGGAGGAGGAGAUGGAGGCUAUUUUGAUUGGGAUGGUGCCAUGAUCGCCCCUGGAUCCCCCAGUUUCAGAGACUAUUUCCUCUCUGCAGCAAUUAAUGUGGCCGAUAGAGAUUCGAGUAAUGCCGGCCACGGAGAAGAUACGAGUGUUGAAGUGAAGACACAGGAUAAACCAUCGCGAAGGAAGGGGAAUCGUUCAAGUUCAAGCGAGGUUCAUUGUUCUUUUCGCCUCAUUACAAUUCCUUUCACUGUUUUGGCCAAAUGUAAUCUACGCCUUGCUUUGUUCUUAAUAUUUAUGCUUGCUAAGAAUCUUGUUUGGCUUAGGUUGAGUUUAUUUUGUCAUUGCUACAGCAACAAUAGGGAUAGGGUUCCUUGAGUGGGCAGACUGGCUUUCACCUCUCACUUAUGGAAAGAAUUAAUAAAUAAAAUCAGAGCAGCCAUAGGCUAUACCACUUGUUCAGAGAGACUUUUCCCAUAAACUUUAGGAGAGGGUUCUCUAAGCAAGUAGGUUACUACUAUAUGCCCUCUCACAUUAAUGGAAAAGAGUUUUUUGGCAUAAUGUGUGGCAAUAGAAGUGCAUAUGGAAGCAUUAAUGGGGAUAGGUUUUUUCACAUUUCAUGGUGGAAUCAAUUGAGAAAUUAGUUAAAAAAGAAGGCAAAGGAAGGAGAAUCAUAAAUGUUUUACCAAAGGGUAAGCAAGUUGGUGUAAAGAAUUUGUUGAAUGUUCGAUCAUGCUACCACCACGCCAAACC